rnacentral:rRNA from 1 species
GGGGGCAGCAAUGGGGAAUUUGCCCCAUGGGGAAAGCCUGAUGCAGGGAGCCGCUUGAGGAUGAAAGCCUUCGGGUUUAAACUUUUUCAGCAGGAAGAAGCGCAAGUGACGGUACCUGCAGAAGAAGCGCCGGCUAACUACGUGCCAGCAGCCGCGGUAAUACGUAGGGCGCAAGCGUUGUUCGGGAAUUAUUGGGCGUAAAGAGCUCGUAGGCGGGUUUGUCGCGUCUGGUGUGAAAACUCGAGGCUCAACCUCGAGCUUGCAUCGGGUACGGGCAGACUAGAGUGCGGUAGGGGAGACUGGAAUUCCUGGUGUAGCGGUGGAAUGCGCAGAUAUCAGGAGGAACACCGAUGGCGAAGGCAGGUCUCUGGGCCGCAACUGACGCUGAGGAGCGAAAGCAUGGGGAGCGAACAGGAUUAGAUACCCUGGUAGUCCAUGCCGUAAACGUUGGGCACUAGGUGUGGGGCUCAUUCCACGAGUUCCGUGCCGCAGCAAACGCAUUAAGUGCCCCGCCUGGGGAGUACGGCCGCAAGGCUAAAACUCAAAGGAAUUGACGGGGGCCCGCACAAGCGGCGGAGCAUGCGGAUUAAUUCGAUGCAACGCGAAGAACCUUACCAAGGCUUGACAUGCACGAGAAGCCACCAGAGAUGGUGGUCUCUUUGGACACUCGUGCACAGGUGGUGCAUGGUUGUCGUCAGCUCGUGUCGUGAGAUGUUGGGUUAAGUCCCGCAACGAGCGCAACCCUCGUCCCAUGUUGCCAGCGGGUUAUGCCGGGGACUCAUGGGAGACUGCCGGGGUCAACUCGGAGGAAGGUGGGGAUGACGUCAAAUCAUCAUGCCCCUUAUGUCUUGGGCUUCACGCAUGCUACAAUGGCCGGUACAAAGGGCUGCGAUACCGUAAGGUGGAGCGAAUCCCAAAAAGCCGGUCUCAGUUCGGAUUGGGGUCUGCAACUCGACCCCAUGAAGUCGGAGUCGCUAGUAAUCGCAGAUCAGCAACGCUGCGGUGAAUACGUUCCCGGGCCUUGUACACACCGCCCGUCAAGUCACGAAAGUCGGUAACACCCGAAGCCCAUGGCCCAACCGUUCGCGGGGGGAGUGUCGAAAGUGA